ACGCUCGACACCUACGGGAGCAGCAGUGGGGAAUAUUGCACAAUGGGGGAAACCCUGAUGCAGCGACGCCGCGUGGAGGAAGAAGUAUCUCGGUAUGCAAACUUCUAUCAGCAGGGAAGAAAAUGACGGUACCUGACUAAGAAGCCCCGGCUAACUACGUGUCAGCAGCCGCGGUAAUCUGAGCGGGCUGGCAAGGC
rnacentral:rRNA from 1 species